GUUUUGAUGUAAGAUAUGUUAAUAAGCAUAUUUAUAUUUUAUCAGAUAGUCAAGCUCUGCAUUAAAAGCACUUCAUAUUUUUGCUUUAUCUUGAAACUUUGCGAAAUGUCAUCAUCUCAUUGUAGCACUAGCUAUCAGGAACAGAUUCAACCUAUUUGGAUGCUAAGGCAUAAAGGAAUUGAGGAUCAUGAGGUUGCAGAUGGGCUGGCCAAGAAAGGAAAUUCUUAUCCUCUUAUUAGACCUGAACUUGCCAUCAGCAUCAAAUCUGAUGAAUUUGGACAAAUUGUCAGGGAUUAGUUGGCAGCCUCAGCAUCUUUUCCAUUGAAGGCCAUUCCUGGAUUAAGG
rnacentral:lncRNA from 1 species